ACGCUCGACACCUACGGGAGGCAGCAGUGGGGAAUAUUGCACAAUGGGGGAAACCCUGAUGCAGCGACGCCGCGUGGAGGAAGAAGGUCUUCGGAUUGUAAACUCCUGUUGUUGGGGAAAAAGNGGAUGGUACCCAACAAGGAAGUGACGGCUAACUACGUGCUAGCAGCCGCGGUAAUCUGAGCGGGCUGGCAAGGC
rnacentral:rRNA from 1 species